GACGAACGCUUGCGGCGUGCUUAACACAUGCAAGUCGAACGGAAAGGCCCUGCUUUUGUGGGGUGCUCGAGUGGCGAACGGGUGAGUAACACGUGAGUAACCUGCCCUUGACUUUGGGAUAACUUCAGGAAACUGGGGCUAAUACCGGAUAGGAGCUCCUGCUGCAUGGUGGGGGUUGGAAAGUUUCGGCGGUUGGGGAUGGACUCGCGGCUUAUCAGCUUGUUGGUGGGGUAGUGGCUUACCAAGGCUUUGACGGGUAGCCGGCCUGAGAGGGUGACCGGCCACAUUGGGACUGAGAUACGGCCCAGACUCCUACGGGAGGCAGCAGUGGGGAAUAUUGCACAAUGGGCGGAAGCCUGAUGCAGCAACGCCGCGUGCGGGAUGACGGCCUUCGGGUUGUAAACCGCUUUCGCCUGUGACGAAGCGUGAGUGACGGUAAUGGGUAAAGAAGCACCGGCUAACUACGUGCCAGCAGCCGCGGUGAUACGUAGGGUGCGAGCGUUGUCCGGAUUUAUUGGGCGUAAAGGGCUCGUAGGUGGUUGAUCGCGUCGGAAGUGUAAUCUUGGGGCUUAACCCUGAGCGUGCUUUCGAUACGGGUUGACUUGAGGAAGGUAGGGGAGAAUGGAAUUCCUGGUGGAGCGGUGGAAUGCGCAGAUAUCAGGAGGAACACCAGUGGCGAAGGCGGUUCUCUGGGCCUUUCCUGACGCUGAGGAGCGAAAGCGUGGGGAGCGAACAGGCUUAGAUACCCUGGUAGUCCACGCUGUAAACGGUGGGUACUAGGUGUGGGGUCCAUUCCACGGGUUCCGUGCCGUAGCUAACGCUUUAAGUACCCCGCCUGGGGAGUACGGCCGCAAGGCUAAAACUCAAAGGAAUUGACGAGGCCCCGCACAAGCGGCGGAGCAUGCGGAUUAAUUCGAUGCAACGCGUAGAACCUUACCUGGGUUUGACAUGGAUCGGGAGUGCUCAGAGAUGGGUGUGCCUCUUUUGGGGUCGGUUCACAGGUGGUGCAUGGCUGUCGUCAGCUCGUGUCGUGAGAUGUUGGGUUAAGUCCCGCAACGAGCGCAACCCUUGUUCACUGUUGCCAGCACGUUAUGGUGGGGACUCAGUGGAGACCGCCGGGGUCAACUCGGAGGAAGGUGGGGAUGACGUCAAGUCAUCAUGCCCCUUAUGUCCAGGGCUUCACGCAUGCUACAAUGGCUGGUACAGAGAGUGGCGAGCCUGUGAGGGUGAGCGAAUCUCGGAAAGCCGGUCUCAGUUCGGAUUGGGGUCUGCAACUCGACCUCAUGAAGUCGGAGUCGCUAGUAAUCGCAGAUCAGCAACGCUGCGGUGAAUACGUUCCCGGGGCU
rnacentral:rRNA from 1 species